GCGCCUCACUGCUGUGUGCCCAAAUGUAGUCCUACGUCCUCAAAGAGAAACAAAUCCUACCGUGGACAGACUUUCCACCGUUUCGCCAAAGAGCAGGCACUUCGGCGUGAAUGAAUUAAUCACAUCAAGAGGGAUCCUGGUCCAUAUUUCAAGAUCAACGCUGAGACCGAGGUUUGAUCUGAGCACGUUGAGAAGCAAUGCUUUGUUAAGGUCACCCGUGGUAUGACAACGCUAAUAAAGGAUGCUGUGCCUGCCAACUUUGUUCGCCUGGACUUCAGAGAAGCCAAAGAGGAGAAUCAUCAUUCGCAUACCGUGUAUGGAUUCCAUGGAGUAUUCCAUCGAGUAUUUCUUCUGUUUCAAUCGUCUUGGUGAAGUUUUUGAGCUGGAUCUGGAUUCUGCUGAGGAUUCGUCGACUACUAGAUGGCGAGCCACCCACUCAUUCGAAUGUGAUCCUGUUCUACAUUGCGCAUGGCAUAUUUGGUAGGAUUGUGGCCUGCUCGUGUCACAUCACUGACUAUGACUGACUUCAACGCCUUGAACUGAACUGUUUGAAAGGAGCUAUUUUUCUUUUUGAACAACUUAAAGGAACUCUCUACAUCGUCUCUUUUGAGGAUUUAAAGGACUAUUUCCAAUUUUUGAAGGACAAUUCAAUGUUUUUUUUUUUUUUUUU